AUCCUACUUGAUCUAUGAGGUGGAGGUACCAUAUCUACUGGCUCACUACUAGGUUCAGGUUCUUGGACUUGAUCCUCUUCAGCGACUUUUUCUUCGAGCUCAAUCUUCCUCCUACUACCUCCAUUCUGGAUAAACUUCUUUUUCAAGAAGACGUUAUGAUGGCUCACAAUCACAUUGUGAUCCUCAGAAAGAUAAAAAUAGU
rnacentral:lncRNA from 1 species